rnacentral:misc_RNA from 1 species
GAUGAAGAACGUAGCGAAAUGCGAUACUUGGUGUGAAUUGCAGAAUCCCGUGAACCAUCGAGUCUUUGAACGCAAGUUGCGCCCGAAGCCAUUAGGCCGAGGGCACGCCUGCCUGGGCGUCACACGUCGUUGCCCCCCCAUCUACUCCUUCGGGAUUGCGGGGGCGGAUGAUGGCCUCCCGUGCGCCUCGUCGCGCGGUUGGCAUAAAUGCCAAGUCCUCGGCGACGCACGCCACGACAAUCGGUGGUUGCGAAACCUCGGUUGCCCGUCGUGUGCGGUCGUCGCGCAUCGAGGGCUCGAAAAAAUUGCCGGGCUCCGGCUCGGCUUUCAACGCGACCCCAGGUCAGGCGGGGUUACCCGCUGAAUUUAAGCAUAUCAAUAAGCGGAGGA